UACAGAGGGGGCGAGCGUUAAUCGGAAUUACUGGGCGUAAAGCGUGCGUAGACGGUUAUUUAAGUCGGGUGUGAAAGCCCCGGGCUCAACCUGGGAAUUGCAUUCGAGACUGAAUAGCUAGGGUACGGUAGAGGGAAGCGGAAUUUCCGGUGUAGCGGUGAAAUGCGUAGAUAUCGGAAGGAACAUCAGUGGCGAAAGCGGCUUCCUGGACCAGUACCGACGUUCAGGCACGAAAGCGUGGGGAGCAAACAGG
rnacentral:rRNA from 1 species